rnacentral:misc_RNA from 1 species
UUUCCGUAGGUGAACCUGCGGAAGGAUCAUUACUGAGUGAGGGCCCCUCGGGGUCCAACCUCCCACCCGUGUUUAACGAACCUUGUUGCUUCGGCGGGCUCGCCUCACGGCCGCCGGGGGGCAUCUGCCCCCGGGCCCGCGCCCGCCGAAGCCACCUGUGAACGCUGUCUGAAGUAUGCAGUCUGAGACAAUUAUUAAAUUAAUUAAAACUUUCAACAACGGAUCUCUUGGUUCCG